rnacentral:rRNA from 1 species
GGUAACACGUGGGCAACCUGCCUUGGAGUGGGGGAUAACCUGGGGAAACUCGGGCUAAUACCGCAUACGUCUCGAGAACUACGGUUCGAGAGCGAAAGCUGGCCUCUACAUGUAAGCUGGCGCUCCUUGAGGGGCCCGCGUUCGAUUAGCUAGUUGGUGAGGUAACGGCUCACCAAGGCUACGAUCGAUAGCCGGCCUGAGAGGGUGAUCGGCCACACUGGGACUGAGACACGGCCCAGACUCCUACGGGAGGCAGCAGUGGGGAAUAUUGGACAAUGGGGGCAACCCUGAUCCAGCAACGCCGCGUGGAGGACGAAGGCCUUCGGGUCGUAAACUCCUGUCAGAUGGGACGAAAAGGCGUCGUUAAAUAGGCGGCGCUCAUGACGGUACCACCAGAGGAAGCCCCGGCUAACUCCGUG